rnacentral:rRNA from 1 species
AUGUUGUGUUUCCUCUGUGUACUAUGUGAGCUUAAGCGAGCGGAACACCAAAGGAGGGUCUUGGGGAUGACGGAGGCUUCGACGACAACCUCAAAGGCGAGAGGGUGCAGGCUACUCUCUCGUGACGCUGGCUUAGGAAAAGUUAUUCGGCUCCAUUUACGAUUGGUUCAUUUGGCUGUUGUAGUGCGUGUUCCGAUUGGUCUUUCGAUUCAUUGCCGCUACGUCCAUGUCAGCGCAAGGAGACGAACUAUUCGUAGGUGUCAGAUAACACCUCCCCUACUUCUCUUCCUCACGAAGCAAAGGAGGCUCGGUGGGGGAUGCUAUGAUGAAUUGGGCUGA